UUAAUUGAAGCCAAAAUAGAGGCGUAUCACUGUUAAUGAUAUAAAUAGGUUAUAACCUCAAUUAAG
rnacentral:tRNA from 1 species